UACGUAGGGUGCAAGCGUUAAUCGGAAUUACUGGGCGUAAAGCGUGCGCAGGCGGUUCGGAAAGAAAGAUGUGAAAUCCCAGAGCUUAACUUUGGAAUGGCAUUUUUAACUACCGGGCUAGAGUAUGUCAGAGGGGGGUAGAAUUCCACGUGUAGCAGUGAAAUGCGUAGAGAUGUGGAGGAAUACCGAUGGCGAAGGCAGCCCCCUGGGAUAAUACUGACGCUCAUGCACGAAAGCGUGGGGAGCAAACAGGAUUAGAUACCCUGGUAGUCCACGCCCUAAACGAUGUCAACUAGCUGUUGGGGCCUUCGGGCCUUAGUAGCGCAGCUAACGCGUGAAGUUGACCGCCUGGGGAGUACGGUCGCAAGAUUAAA
rnacentral:rRNA from 1 species